UCCUCCCCUUCUCCUCCCCUGCUCGCUGCAGACUCCCUCCUCACUGUCGCUGCCGAGAUCCACAGUCGGUUGUGGCUCAGCCCCUGUUGCAGGGGACAAGUGAGGGAGACUUCCCUGUCCUGCCCUGAGACGCCGCCCUCCCGGGGUUGGGGACAGAGCAGGUGCAGAGGCACUGCAGCUGCUCGGUUGCCCACCUCCUGAAUGAUGCCAGCCCAGUAUGCU
rnacentral:lncRNA from 1 species